CCUACGGGAGGCAGCAGUAGGGAAUCUUCCACAAUGGGCGAAAGCCUGAUGGAGCAACGCCGCGUGAGUGAUGAAGGCCUUCGGGUUGUAAAACUCUGUCAUUCGGGACGAACCGGAGUCUGAGGAAAUGCAGACUCUCUGACGGUACCGGAGGAGGAAGCCCCGGCUAACUACGUGCCAGCAGCCGCGGUAAUACGUAGGGGGCAAGCGUUGUCCGGAUUCACUGGGCGUAAAGCGCGCGCAGGCGGUGAUGUAAGUCUGAGGUGAAAACCCGAAGCUCAACUUCGGGACUGCCUUGGAUACUGCGUCACUUGAGGAUAGGAGAGGCAAGGGGAAUUCCACGUGUAGCGGUGAAAUGCGUAGAGAUGUGGAGGAACACCUGUGGCGAAGGCGCCUUGCUGGCCUAUUUCUGACGCUGAGGCGCGAAAGCGUGGGGAGCAAACAGGAUUAGAUACCCUGGUAGUCCACGCUGUAAACGAUGAGUGCUAGGUGUAGGUGGGCUCAUACCCAUCUGUGCCGAAGCUAACGCAUUAAGCACUCCGCCUGGGGAGUACGGUCGCAAGACUGAAACUCAAAGGAUUGACGG
rnacentral:rRNA from 1 species